UGCGUAGGCUGAAUAGUCAGUCAGUGGUGAAAUCCUACAGCUUAACUGUAGAACUGCCAUUGAUACUGCUAUUCUUGAGUACAGUUGAGGUAGGCGGAAUGUGUAGUGUAGCAGUGAAAUGCUUAGAUAUUACACAGAACACCGAUUGCGAAGGCAGCUUACUAAACUGUUACUGACGCUGAGGCACGAAAGCGUGGGGAGCGAACAGGAUUAGAUACCCUGGUAGUCC
rnacentral:rRNA from 1 species